CCGGAAGUCGCGCGCGGCCGCCAUCUUACUGUGACCACCUUGAGGAGUGAGCUAUUGUGAUUAAUACGGUAUUUUCCACUGUUUUGUUCUGUUAUCUCGCAAUAGAGGAACAAAUCAAGUCAAAUAUGGUAUUUUAACCAAAAGCACAUGUUCAAGAAUGUUGGGGACCUCUUUUACAUUCAAAUGAACUCAAUCGUAAAGAAAUGUGUCUAUAUUUUUGACGACGUUUCUGAGUGCGACUGAGAUGAAUCAUGAAUAUAGUCGUGACAACACCUUUCAAAUGGGAAUUUCUGAUAGAGAUCGGUGAAUUAUACCAUAAGUUAACACAUGAGAAAUUGGUCAUGAACUUUAUUGUUUUGGAAAUGGUCAAUUUUAUAUGGACAAGACUCAUAUUUGUGUCUAUCGACCUAAUCAACGCAAACAAAUUAUGUCGCUUGUGGGAUUUGUUAAAGGCACAAAUGAUUCAGGAUGGUAGAAAGAAUAGCAGGUGCGUUGUAGUGAUCUUAUUUAUGUUAAUGGUGGGUGCUUAAACGCAAUGCCUUGUGAGAAUAUAUACCAUACCAUCCCUGCUUGUGUAAUAUGUUCCUUAUAAUAAAGUCAUAGUCAUGAUUAAUUAUCACUCUUCUGAGAAAACCUCAAUGGUGUUUUAUUCCAAAGAAGCAGAUUAAAAUUAAUAAAUUUGAAAGAAAUUGAAAGUUGUGAAAUAAUGGUAUCUCAUUUCUGUGCUUUUUAGAUCCUAUAGAGACAGUAUAAAGUGAAGAUGGAACAAUGCUGCAAACAGUUACUUUCAGUUGCAUGUCUAUAUAAUAUGCAUUAUAUUGCAUUGUGUAAAAACAAUUUAAUUGUAAAGGGUCUCUAGUAUUAUAGGAUCUGUGUGAAAUCUAUCAGCCUAAUCAUAAAAAAAUGUAUUGGUUAUAAAACAUUGUUUGUUGACUGAAUACUGCAACCUGCCGAGAUCAUUUUAGCUUUGUCUUUUCUUCAUGGAGUAAAUCAGGCUUUUAGGUUUCAAGAAAUUGUGACAUUGUUAAUAUAUGUUCUGCCCUCAAUAAUACAGAUCAAUUAAUAAACAGCAUAAUAUGUAUAUUUUAUGAGACUGACUGCUGCCUUGACACACCUACACAUUACAAUUGCAUUAAAAUACACUACAGUACUGCUUACAAACUUUUACUUUAUUUACAGUAACAGUACUUUUACUUUAGUCAUUUUACAGUAAAAAGACAACUACUAAGAAACGAAUGAAUUGAGGGGCCGACCAUUUAACUUUUGAGGGGGGAGGGGGUGAUUUACUGCUGGCAGGGAGUUUUUUUCUGGGAUCAUGUGCAAGUUUUUUUCUAUCCCAUCACCAUGUAUGAUUUUUUUUUCCACUCUCUUUCGCAGCAUUUUUUUUCAAUAGCU